GAAAUUACGGCAGUUAAUAUUCUGCCACAAAUAAAUCUAAUACGGAAGAAAAAAAAUAUUCAAAACAAAUAGCAUACUUUCUCCGCUUUGGAAACUGAUUUAAAGAUCCUGAUGAUCUGAAGCCUGGCUGAGAGGACGCUGUCCGUCUGGAUACCUGCACUCAGAAAAAAAAUAGAGGAGGAAGUCAGAGGCCUGACCUGUCCUCCAGAGCACUGUGUCGUAGAAAAAGGAGAACUCCAUCUCGGUGUGAUGCUCCAGGGAAGCCCAGCCUCUCGGUGCUGUCACGUAGAUGUAGGACACGUAGAGAGGAACCUGCACCGUCAGGAAGGACUGAGCCGAGUCCCGAACCUGGAAGAACGACAGCAUGCUUUAACAGUCUCCACCUGCAGGCC